UGUCUUACACAUGCAGUCGAACGGUAACAGGGAGCUUGCUCCGCUGACGAGUGGCGAACGGGUGAGUAAUACAUCGGAACGUGUCCUGUAGUGGGGGAUAGCCCGGCGAAAGCCGGAUUAAUACCGCAUACGAUCUACGGAUGAAAGCGGGGGAUCUUCGGACCUCGCGCUAUAGGGGCGGCCGAUGGCAGAUUAGCUAGUUGGUGGGGUAAAGGCCUACCAAGGCGACGAUCUGUAGCUGGUCUGAGAGGACGACCAGCCACACUGGGACUGAGACACGGCCCAGACUCCUACGGGAGGCAGCAGUGGGGAAUUUUGGACAAUGGGCGAAAGCCUGAUCCAGCAAUGCCGCGUGUGUGAAGAAGGCCUUCGGGUUGUAAAGCACUUUUGUUCGGGAAGAAAAGGACUGGGCUAAUAUCCUGGUCUGAUGACGGUACCGGAAGAAUAAGCACCGGCUAACUACGUGCCAGCAGCCGCGGUAAUACGUAGGGUGCAAGCGUUAAUCGGAAUUACUGGGCGUAAAGCGUGCGCAGGCGGUUUGUUAAGACAGAUGUGAAAUCCCCGGGCUCAACCUGGGAACUGCAUUUGUGACUGGCAAGCUAGAGUCUGGCAGAGGGGGGGUGGAAUUCCGCGUGUAGCAGUGAAAUGCGUAGAUAUGCGGAGGAACACCGAUGGCGAAGGCAGCCCCCUGGGCCAACACUGACGCUCAUGCACGAAAGCGUGGGGAGCAAACAGGAUAAACCCCCCGGG
rnacentral:rRNA from 1 species